GUGAGGAAUAUUGCGCAAUGGGCGAAAGCCUGACGCAGCGACGCCGCGUGGAGGAUGAAGGCCUUCGGGUCGUAAACUCCUGUCGAGGGGGAAGAAAUGGUCUUCCGCUAAUAUCGGAGGGUCUUGACUGUACCCCUGGAGGAAGCCCCGGCUAACUCCGUGCCAGCAGCCGCGGUAAUACGGAGGGGGCCAGCGUUGCUCGGAAUUACUGGGCGUAAAGGGCUUGUAGGCGGUCUGAUAAGUCCUGUGUGAAAUCCCCUGGCUUAACCAGGGAACUGCGCCGGAUACUGUCGGACUAGAGGCCGGGAGAGGGAAGCGGAAUUCCCAGUGUAGCGGUGAAAUGCGUAGAUAUUGGGAGGAACACCGGUGGCGUAGGCGGCUUCCUGGACCGGUUCUGACGCUGAGGAGCGAAAGCUAGGGUAGCAAACAGGAUUAGAAACCCGAGUAGUCC
rnacentral:rRNA from 1 species